rnacentral:rRNA from 1 species
UACGAAGGGUGCAAACGUUGCUCGGAAUUAUUGGGCGUAAAGCGCACGUAGGCGGCUUAGCAAGUCGGAAGUGAAAUCCCUCGGCUCAACCAAGGAAGUGCUUUCGAAACUGCUGAGCUUGAGUACGAAAGAGGAUCGCGGAAUUCCCGGUGUAGAGGUGAAAUUCGUAGAUAUCGGGAGGAACACCAGUGGCGAAGGCGGCGAUCUGGGUCGAUACUGACGCUGAGGCGCGACAGCGUGGGGAGCAAACAGG